ACAUGCAGUCGAGCGGACCGACGGGAGCUUGCUCCCUUAGGUCAGCGGCGGACGGGUGAGUAACACGUGGGUAACCUGCCUGUAAGACUGGGAUAACUCCGGGAAACCGGGGCUAAUACCGGAUGCUUGAUUGAACCGCAUGGUUCAAUCAUAAAAGGUGGCUUUUAGCUACCACUUGCAGAUGGACCCGCGGCGCAUUAGCUAGUUGGUGAGGUAACGGCUCACCAAGGCGACGAUGCGUAGCCGACCUGAGAGGGUGAUCGGCCACACUGGGACUGAGACACGGCCCAGACUCCUACGGGAGGCAGCAGUAGGGAAUCUUCCGCAAUGGACGAAAGUCUGACGGAGCAACGCCGCGUGAGUGAUGAAGGUUUUCGGAUCGUAAAACUCUGUUGUUAGGGAAGAACAAGUACCGUUCGAAUAGGGCGGUACCUUGACGGUACCUAACCAGAAAGCCACGGCUAACUACGUGCCAGCAGCCGCGGUAAUACGUAGGUGGCAAGCGUUGUCCGGAAUUAUUGGGCGUAAAGCGCGCGCAGGCGGUUUCUUAAGUCUGAUGUGAAAGCCCCCGGCUCAACCGGGGAGGGUCAUUGGAAACUGGGGAACUUGAGUGCAGAAGAGGAGAGUGGAAUUCCACGUGUAGCGGUGAAAUGCGUAGAGAUGUGGAGGAACACCAGUGGCGAAGGCGACUCUCUGGUCUGUAACUGACGCUGAGGCGCGAAAGCGUGGGGAGCGAACAGGAUUAGAUACCCUGGUAGUCCACGCCGUAAACGAUGAGUGCUAAGUGUUAGAGGGUUUCCGCCCUUUAGUGCUGCAGCAAACGCAUUAAGCACUCCGCCUGGGGAGUACGGUCGCAAGACUGAAACUCAAAGGAAUUGACGGGGGCCCGCACAAGCGGUGGAGCAUGUGGUUUAAUUCGAAGCAACGCGAAGAACCUUACCAGGUCUUGACAUCCUCUGACAACCCUAGAGAUAGGGCUUCCCCUUCGGGGCAGAGUGACAGGUGGUGCAUGGUUGUCGUCAGCUCGUGUCGUGA
rnacentral:rRNA from 1 species